GAAUGAGAGGGGGAGGAAGAGUGAGAGGUAGGGGUAGAGCUGGUAGAGGAGUUCAUGGCCAAAGAAGACAACAACUUUCAAAUGAAAUCAGAGCAACCUUAGUUGAUCAUGUCGUCAACCAUGGGCUGACAAUGCGAGAGGCUGGACAGAGAGUGCAGCCCAACUCGAGCCGUUUUACUGUCGCCUGUGUCAUCCGGACAUUUAGACUGGAGUACAGGACUGAGAGAUGCAACCAUGGUGGAGGAAGGGGCCAAAUGUUCACCGGGGUACAGGAAGCUGCCAUUGUAAACUUGGUUUUGGAAAAUAAUGAAAUCAGAUUACGAGAAAUUCAAAGCCACAUCAUCCAAGACAACACCAUAUUCAACAACAUUCAACGAGUCAGUCUGUCCACAUUGGCUUGCAUUCUCAAGCGAAACCAAAUCAGAAUGAAACAGCUUUAUAAGGUGCCGUUUGAGAGAAACGCUCAAAGAAACAAAGAGGUCAGAUGACCAUAUGUGGAUGGAGUAAUGGAAAUGGAUGCUCAUGCAAUCCCACAUGAGUUCAUCUUUAUAGAUGAGGCUGGGUUCAGUCUAGCAAAGACCAGAAGAAGGGGGAGAAACGUCAUCGGCCACAGAGCCAUUAUAGAUGUUCCUGGCCAACGUGGUGGGAACAUCACAAUGUGCACUGCCAUCUCCAAUACGCAUGGUGUCCUCCACCGUCAUGCCAACCUUGGACCAUACAACACAGCCCAUAUUCUCACAUUUCUGGACAGACUCCACAACAUUCUCAUACCACCAGAGUGUAUGAAUGAUGCAGACCAUCAAAGAACCCGGUACGUUGUAGUAUGGGACAACGUGAGCUUUCAUCGUGCAGCUCCAGUCCAAAACUGGUUUGCUGACCACCCACCAUUUCUCGUGCAAUACCUCCCACCAUACUCACCAUUUCUGAACCCCAUAGAAGAUUUAUUUUCGGCAUGGCGGUGGAAGGUAUACGACCGGCAGCCCUUUGUGCGCAUGCCUCUUGUGCAGGCUAUUAUAAAAAAUCCUUUACAGCAAGACAUAGAACCCAUGUAAUGAAACGGAAAUGUAACCAUUUUGAAUGAUUGGACAGGAAUUUAGCCUGUAAAAAUGAUUGUUGAUUUUGUCUGGCUAUUCCUCAAGCGAUUAGGAGAUAUAGGUUGUUGUGGUAUUCAUGUAGUGUAUUAUAUCAAACGGGGAAUAAUGGUGUGGCAUGAGGCCAAAGGGGAAUACGGUUCACAGUCUGGUAACAUAUAGAGUACCAGUCAACAGUUUGGACACACCUACUCGUUCAAGGGUUUGUCUUUUAUUAUUUUUAUUAUUAUCAUUAAAAUUGAGACAGAAAAUAUUUACACAAGAUGCAACCUAAUAUCACACAGUCAACCUCUCAUUUCAUUUAGUUAGUAGUGAGCGCCCUCAUCUCCUGCCUGUCCGGUAGAGCUCUGGAGUGGGCCAACGCGGUCUGGGAGGGACCAGACUCAGCGAGGGACAACUACUCAGAGUUCACCCGCCGUUUCCGGGCCGUGUUCGACCGUCCCCCGGAGGGGCGAGUGGCGGGUGAGCGUCUGUUCCUACUGCGGCAGGAGACGAGGAGCGCUCAAGACUUCGCGCUGGAGUUCCAGAUCUUGGCCGCCGGCUCGGGGUGGAACGACAGGGCCUUGAUAGACCAUGUUCGACAAUGUUUGGCUAACGAACACGGCCUUGCUGUCCCCCCAAAAUGUGAGCUUCAUAUAUUGUUGUCACGAUGUUCAAAAGAGCAAUACCACUUCUUGUAAUGACGCUUACAUUUUACACAACACAACCCUACGGCUAUGCCUUUUCCUAGACUGACCAAUUUUGUAUGCAGCCUAAAGAAAACAUCCAGUAAAAAGAAUAAGAGCUGAUUCUGAUUAAAACACUUGCAUAAACACCUGAAUCUUAAUGACACAACUUGUUUGGAAUGAUGCGCUCUCUCCUCUCUUGCCUGUCAGGUUUCUCUCUUUGGCAAUUAAGGCUUCACCUUUAUAGGCUGAGCAUUUAUGUUCAUUCACACAGGUGUCGUGUCUUUGGCUAUGCCGGAUUA